UAGAUGAAAAUCUUUUCCUCUGGGUGUU
rnacentral:piRNA from 1 species